UACGUAGGGGGCUAGCGUUGUCCGGAAUCAUUGGGCGUAAAGAGCGUGUAGGCGGUCCGGUAAGUCCGCUGUGAAAGUCGGGGGCUCAACCCUCGGAUGCCGGUGGAUACUGUCGGGCUUGAGUACGGAAGAGGCGAGUGGAAUUCCUGGUGUAGCGGUGAAAUGCGCAGAUAUCAGGAGGAACACCAAUUGCGAAGGCAGUUCGCUGGGACGUUACUGACGCUGAGACGCGAAAGCGUGGGGAGCAAACAGG
rnacentral:rRNA from 1 species